CCACCCAGCUCAGGAACUGGGGCUGUGCAGUUCAGCCGCAGCUUGGCUGCCAGUAGUAUGUGCUAUUACAGUGCCUGGAGAUGAGGCAGUUUGGAAGCCAGUUUACACAGAGCAAAUGGGUACUUUGAGAUUGAACUGACUAGGGGAGCAGACACACAACUGGUAUACUGGUAUAACACCCCACUUUCUGAGGGGUACCUUUUCCGUAGAAUGAAGUGACUUACCCUAGUGUAAAGCUCUGUAUUGUACAUUUGGUGCACUUUUUAUUAUGAAGUAGUUCAUUUACUCUGUAGCAAACAUAUUGUUUGUCCACACCUCUUGUUACAUAGUACAAGGGGCUGUAACUACAGCUUUGAGACUAUAGCUUUCAUAGCAUCUGACAAAGCAAACUGUUGCUGACAGAAGCUUACGUCUCUCUAAAUUAAUCUAUAAGGCACCACUUUUUUUUCUUUUUUCAUUCGGCUGCUAGACCUAGGUCCCAUCACAAUAAAUUAGAUAUCAGAAAUCUGACUUGCAACUACCUUGGUCAAACCCAUUCUUUGCAGUUUCAACUGGCUUUCUAUUUGGUUGUACCUCCAACUCCCCAGUGUCUUCCACUCAGCCUUCCCCCUGCUACUCUCAUUCCCCACCCCCCUUUUGUUUCUUUUUAGUUUAUCUUCUCCAUGCUACCUCAAGAAAAAAAAACACUGAAUGUGCUUCUUGCCAUCACCUUGUCCAUUCUGCCUUUUAUUAUUAUAUAUUGUGUCUUGUCUAUUUAGACUGUGAGCUCUUUAGAGCCAGGCAUUUUGCUGGUAUAAUACCUAGCAUGAUGGAGUCCUGUUUGACAGGGUCAAAGGUACAGCUGUAAUGCACAUGACUAACAGUAAUAAAGUAAAAUGUGCUAAAGACCAAGGAUCAAAGAGUGUGUUUUUGUAAUGUAAUACUUUUACCUCCUAGAGAUUUAAGCAUAGUGUUUGUAAAUUCUAUCAAAAUGAUGACUGAUCUUUUUUGUGUCAUUCUUUCACACAGUGAGAUAGGAACCAAAAGGAGAAUUUAAAUAUUUACAAUAAAAAGUUGCACACUCCAUGUCAAGUGUCACAAGAUGAUGUCCUGCAGCUGAGAUACAGCUUAGCUGAACUACGCAUGAUCUUGCCAGAUCCAGAAAACCCCUCCAUUAGUGGGUGUAAGCAGAGAAUGCCCCCAGGCAUUGUGUACAGUCCCUGUGAGCUACAAAGCGCAUCCUAUGAUGAGAAGGUUACUGGGCUGCUUUAACUCGACAGACAUUGGAGUUGAAACAGAAUCUAUAGGAAGCAGCAGACAAGCUACCAGGGGAGCAGUGUGUGCAGGACCUCCCAGUGUUGCAAUGGGACACUGAAGAAAAAAACAGAACAUUGUCACGUUUGCUCUGCAGUGACAUCCUCUACACUGUUCUGAUAGUUAGCCUGUGAUGUGCUUACUGCUUUCACAGACCUGAGGAAGGGCAUUUUGUACCUGAUUGUCUAAUAUUUCUCUCAACCAUAAGUUGGUCCAAUAAAAGAUAUUACAUCACCUCA